rnacentral:sRNA from 1 species
GGCCGAGGGAGGACCCUCCUGUCCCGGACGUCGCUGUCGGAAGUGCCAGGGUUGAGGGCCUCAGCUCCUCCUCCUCCAUCCUCUCUCCUCUGCUGCCUCACAAGCAUCACUCCUUGAAUCUUCUUGCAUCCCUUGUCUGUCUCAUUCCUCUACCUGCUCUGAAUUUCCUCCAUCUCUUCAGCUUCUUUCUUUGGCCCGACCGGAAGAAGGGCCUUUCAUCCAGGCCUGGUGGCUCAUGACCGCGUGAGCGCUGCCUCAUUCUGCUAAUCUUAGCCCGGGCUGCGGGGAGCCCCCCCAUCAGCCAUGAGUAUUAUGACCCGGCGGAGUUUAUGGAGGGCGGCCCGCAGGAGGCAGACCGCUUGGAUGAGCUGGAGUAUGAGGAGGUGGAGCUGUAUAAAAGCAGCCACCGGGACAAGCUGGGCCUGAUGGUUUGCUACCGCACGGACGACGAGGAGGACCUGGGCAUUUAUGUCGGAGAGGUAAAUCCCAACAGCAUUGCAGCCAAAGACGGCCGGAUCCGUGAGGGAGACCGCAUCAUCCAGAUUAACGGUGUAGACGUCCAGAACCGGGAAGAGGCGGUGGCCAUCCUGAGCCAGGAAGAGAACACCAACAUCUCCCUGCUGGUGGCCCGACCUGAGAGCCAGCUGGCGAAAAGGUGGAAGGACAGCGACCGCGAUGACUUCCUGGAUGACUUUGGCUCUGAGAAUGAGGGGGAGCUGCGUGCUCGUAAACUGAAAUCACCCCCUGCCCAGCAGCUCGGAAACGAAGAGGAGAAGG